rnacentral:sRNA from 1 species
CUUGGUCAUUUAGAGGAAGUAAAAGUCGUAACAAGGUUUCCGAAGGUGAACCUGCGGAAGGAUCAUUCAUAAUAAGUGUUUAUGGCACUUCUUAAAUCCAUAUCCACCUUGUGUGCAAUGUCAGCCGUUUUCUUUAUGAAAGCGGCCAAACAUCAACUUAUUUUUUAACUGUCUGUCUGAAAACUAUUAUGAAUAAACAAUUCAAAUACAACUUUCAACAACGGAUCUCUUGGCUCUCGCAUCGAUGAAGAACGCAGCGAAAUGCGAUACGUAAUGUGAAUUGCAGAAUUCAGUGAAUCAUCGAAUCUUUGAACGCAUAUUGCGCUCUUUGGUAUUCCGAAGAGCAUGCUUGUUUGAGUAUCAGUAAACACCUCAAAGCCUUCAAUUCAGUUUGAAAGCUUUGGACUUGAGCAAUCCCAACAUCAGUCUCGCGACUGACGGAGGGCUGCUUGAAAUGCAGGUGCAGCUGGACAUUCUCCUGAGCUAUAAGCAUAUUUAUUUAGUCCCGUCAAACGGAUUAUUACUUUUGCUGCAGCUAACAUAAAGGGAGUCUGACCGUAUUGGCUGACUGAUGCAGGAUUUCACAAGGGCUGGCAACAGCUUCUUGUAAAACUCGAUCUCAAAUCAAGUAAGACUACCCGCUGAACUUAAGCAUAUCAAUAAGCGGAGGAAAAGAAACUAACAAGGAUUCCCCUAGUAACGGCGAGUGAAGCGGGAUGAGCUCAAAUUUAAAAUCUGACUGGUUUACUAGUCCGAAUUGUAGUUUAUAGAAGCGUUUUCGGUGGCAGCCUGGGUAUAAAUCCUUUGGAAUAGGGUAUCAUAGAGGGUGAGAAUCCCGUCUUUGACUCAGUGCAUGCUACUAUGUGAUACGUUUUCAAAGAGUCGAGUUGUUUGGGAAU